rnacentral:rRNA from 1 species
GACGAACGCUGGCGGCGUGCUUAACACAUGCAAGUCGAACGGAAAGGCCCUGCUUUUGUGGGGUGCUCGAGUGGCGAACGGGUGAGUAACACGUGAGUAACCUGCCCUUGACUUUGGGAUAACUUCAGGAAACUGGGGCUAAUACCGGAUAGGAGCUCCUACUGCAUGGUGGGGGUUGGAAAGUUUCGGCGGUUGGGGAUGGACUCGCGGCUUAUCAGCUUGUUGGUGGGGUAGUGGCUUACCAAGGCUUUGACGGGUAGCCGGCCUGAGAGGGUGACCGGCCACAUUGGGACUGAGAUACGGCCCAGACUCCUACGGGAGGCAGCAGUGGGGAAUAUUGCACAAUGGGCGGAAGCCUGAUGCAGCAACGCCGCGUGCGGGAUGACGGCCUUCGGGUUGUAAACCACUUUCGCCUGUGACGAAGCGUGAGUGACGGUAAUGGGUAAAGAAGCACCGGCUAACUACGUG